GUAGGUGAACCUGCGGAAGGAUCAUUAACACGUAUCCAACGUUAAACAACCCUGUGAACCUUGAACGUGCUCUCGUACACGCUCUAGCAGCGAUCCCUGGUAAAUCAUUGUUGACCAGCUAUUGAGUCUGGGACUUCUGCUAGAAAACCAUACGAUACGAGCGCCAGAGUAAGUGCGGCCUGGCAUCCUAGCAAUCUGUCAGUGGUUGCGCAAGGAUGGCGCAGUAAACGAUCGCUGUAGGCCCACACGGCCGGCGACCGGGCCUCUGUGCUUCGGUUCUGACCCGGUGCGCUGUAACAACCGCACCACAAACUCGAACAACUGUUAACAAUGGAUAUCUUGGUUCUU
rnacentral:misc_RNA from 1 species